rnacentral:sRNA from 1 species
AAAAUAUAUAGUUUUGAUUGUCAUUAUAUCAAAAAAUUAAAAUAAUUUAACGGUUUUCUGUCACCAUUCAUCACGGUAACAAAAUGCAAAAGAUAAGAAUUACAAUCUUAAAAAGCGGCAAAAAGUGACAAAAUUUGACCGUUCAAAAUGGUUUUUAGCGGUUUAUUGUGUCUUUUGCAUCUUU